rnacentral:rRNA from 1 species
UGGCUCAGGAUGAACGCGGCGGCGUGCUUAUACUGCAAGUCGAACGAGUUCUCGUUGAUGAUCGGUGCUUGCAUCGAGAUUCAACAUGGAACGAGUGGCGGACGGGUGAGUAACACGUGGGUAACCUGCCCUUAAGUGGGGGAUAACAUUUGGAAACAGAUGCUAAUACCGCAUAGAUCCAAGAACCGCAUGGUUCUUGGCUGAAAGAUGGCGUAAGCUAUCGCUUUGGAUGGACCCGCGGCGUAUUAGCUAGUUGGUGAGGUAAUGGCUCACCAAGGCGAUGAUACGUAGCCGAACUGAGAGGUUGAUCGGCCACAUUGGGACUGAGACACGGCCCAAACUCCUACGGGAGGCAGCAGUAGGGAAUCUUCCACAAUGGACGCAAGUCUGAUGGAGCAACGCCGCGUGAGUGAAGAAGGCUUUCGGGUCGUAAAACUCUGUUGUUGGAGAAGAAUGGUCGGCAGAGUAACUGU